CCUACGGGAGGCAGCAGUAGGGAAUCUUCCACAAUGGGCGAAAGCCUGAUGGAGCAACGCCGCGUGGGUGAAGAAGGUCUACGGAUCGUAAAACCCUGUUGUUAGAGAAGAAAGUGCGUGAGAGUAACUGUUCACGUUUCGACGGUAUCUAACCAGAAAGCCACGGCUAACUACGUGCCAGCAGCCGCGGUAAUACGUAGGUGGCAAGCGUUAUCCGGAUUGAUUGGGCGUAAAGGGAACGCAGGCGGUCUUUUAAGUCUGAUGUGAAAGCCUUCGGCUUAACCGGAGUAGUGCAUUGGAAACUGGGAGACUUGAGUGCAGAAGAGGAGAGUGGAACUCCAUGUGUAGCGGUGAAAUGCGUAGAUAUAUGGAAGAACACCAGUGGCGAAAGCGGCUCUCUGGUCUGUAACUGACGCUGAGGUUCGAAAGCGUGGGUAGCAAACAGGAUUAGAUACCCCAGUAGUC
rnacentral:rRNA from 1 species